AACGAACGCUGGCGGCGUGCUUAACACAUGCAAGUCGAACGCGAAAUUUUUCUUCGGAAAGAAAGUAGAGUGGCGCACGGGUGAGUAACGCGUAAGUAAUCUACCCCCGCAUCUGGAAUAACAAUUCGAAAGGAUUGCUAAUACCGGAUACGUUGAUUUAUCAAGAAAGGUGGCCUCUGAUAUAAGCUACUGUGCGGGGAGGAGCUUGCGUACCAUUAGCUAGUUGGUGGGGUAAUGGCCUACCAAGGCAACGAUGGUUAGCGGGUCUGAGAGGAUGAUCCGCCACACUGGAACUGAAACACGGACCAGACUCCUACGGGAGGCAG
rnacentral:rRNA from 1 species